CCCAGACUCCUACGGGAGGCAGCAGUGGGGAAUAUUGCACAAUGGGCGAAAGCCUGAUGCAGCAACGCCGCGUGAAGGAAGAAGGGUUUCGGCUCGUAAACUUCUAUCAACAGGGACGAAAGAAAUGACGGUACCUGAAUAAGAAGCCCCAGCUAACUACGUGCCAGCAGCCGCGGUAAUACGUAGGGGGCAAGCGUUAUCCGGAUUUACUGGGUGUAAAGGGAGCGUAGACGGCAGUGCAAGUCCGGAGUGAAAGCCCGGGGCUCAACCCUGGGACUGCUCUGGAAACUGUAAAGCUGGAGUGCGGGAGGGGCAGGCGGAAUUCCUGGUGUAGCGGUGAAAUGCGUAGAUAUCAGGAGGAACACCGGCGGCGAAGGCGGCCUGCUGGACCGUAACUGACGUUGAGGCUCGAAAGCGUGGGGAGCAAACAGGAUUAGAUACCCGAGUA
rnacentral:rRNA from 1 species